rnacentral:sRNA from 1 species
AAAAAAAAAUAAAUUUUUAAUGGAGCAACUUGUUAAAAAUUUAAAGAAAAUUCCCAAAAAAAAAAAUUUAAGAAAAAUGAAUAGGCCUAAGUGAAUAUCUGUCAAAAUUUAAACCCUUGAAAUUGCAAAAUGUUUACAAGCCCUCCAACGAAAGGAGGAAGCAAACCAGAAAAAAAUUCAGCGGAAAUUUUUGGGUGUGUGCCUAUCCCCAGUGUGUGUGAACUUCCGCUUCUUGCCCUAAGCCACUCUGUCAGUCAGUCAUUCAACAACAUAAUAAACACGUACACAUUUCUGUGAGUGUAAGCGCGUUGGUGUGUGUGUGUGUGUGUGUGUCUGUAUGCAAACAUCACAAGAGAAAGUUAUGAUACAAUUUUGAAACGGAAACUCAGAGCAUGGGUUGUGCGUUAAUUUACGCAUUUCCCCCCAAAACAGAAAGAAAAAAAAAAAA